rnacentral:rRNA from 1 species
AAAUUGAAGAGUUUGAUCAUGGCUCAGAUUGAACGCUGGCGGCAGGCCUAACACAUGCAAGUCGAACGGUAACAGGAAACAGCUUGCUGUUUCGCUGACGAGUGGCGGACGGGUGAGUAAUGUCUGGGAAACUGCCUGAUGGAGGGGGAUAACUACUGGAAACGGUAGCUAAUACCGCAUAACGUCGCAAGACCAAAGAGGGGGACCCUCGGGCCUCUUGCCAUC